CAGAAUGCGCAAGUCCUUGAUUCUUCCUGUAGCCCACAAACUGACACUCUUUCAGUGUUGUCUGAGACGGAUGACAGUGCUGGACCAAGCUCCAAGAGACAUUGUCUUGGUGGAGAUUUUGAUGCAAAACAGUAUGUUAGAGACAUUGUAGAGGAAAAGGCAGGAGGACCUGCGAUUUUGGCUGAAAAUAGAGAUCAUGGAAAACUCACAGACUCAACAAGGCGACACUUAACAUUGUUGUUGCGCACAUUACCGACAAAGAAGGCCAUGUCCCUUCUAAAGAAACAAAGACUCGUUGUGCUUUGGGAAUUGUAACACUGUUCCCAUCCCUUAAGGAUCCAUACUCAAGAACUGGAUAUGAGCAUUUUUAUGACCCUAAGAGCAACCAAGGAUACAUAUCUUGGCGAUUCAAAACAGUUUCUCGGCAAAGCGAACACCACGCCGGACACCACAGUAAG